GUGGGGAAUCUUCCGCAAUGGACGAAAGUCUGACGGAGCAACGCCGCGUGAGUGAAGAAGGUUUUCGGAUCGUAAAGCUCUUUCGUUAGGGACGAACGUGCUCUUUGUGAAUAAUGAGGAGUAAUGACGGUACCUAAAUAAGAAGCCACGACUAACUACGUGCCAGCAGCCGCGGUAAUACGUAGGUGGCAAGCGUUGUCCGGAAUUAUUUGGCGUAAAGCGCGCGCAGGCGGGAUAUCAAGUCUGUCUUAAAAGUGCGAGGCUCAACCUCGUGAGGGGACAGAAACUGGUAUUCUUGAGUGUCGGAGAGGAAAGUGGAAUUCCAAGUGUAGCGGUGAAAUGCGUAGAGAUUUGGAAGAACACCAGUGGCGAAGGCGACUUUCUGGACGAUGUCUGACGCUGAGGCGCGAAAGCUAGGGGAGCGAACGGGAUUAGAAACCCGGGUAGUCC
rnacentral:rRNA from 1 species